GAAGUUCCACUCAACAUUUCUAUAGAAUUGCUACUCUGUAUAUUAGCUCUGUAGUCAUUUUGUCUGAGUACUUGAUCCUGUGUACAGUCAAAGUUUACCAGACAUAAAAAGAACCAAGGAAAGUAAAUGAGAGACAGGAAAUCCUGGGAGGGUUUCUUCUGCACUGAGAAGUCUCAGGGAUCAUUAUCCAUGGGGCUUAAAAUGUUGUUUCUUUGGGGAAUCUGUCAAAACAUUAUAAUGUUUAUUUGUGGCGAUUCCAAGAUGAGAGGGAAAGGGAGAAAGAGAUGGAGGCGGGAGCGGGAGGGAGAGAGGGCGGAAGGAUGUCUGAAAAAGGAGGAAGGAGAGACCCUAUUCUCAGAGGGGACAAAGUGUGUGUGUGUGUGUGUGUGUGUGUGUGUGUGUGUGUGUGUGUGUGUGAACUUUUAAGGGUUAAGACAAUUUUAGGAUGGGACACUGUAGGGGUUCCUCCUCCCAGGGACUGUCAUAUCUUCUUACAAACAACUUAACUAGUGUUGAAUGCCUUGUUGGAGACGUGGAGCUCAGAGCCUUCCUAGCACCCAGAGCCAGAAAGUGUAAGUUGCACCCUUCCCUGAGGUUAAUAUCACAGACGGUGAAACGGAUAGCAGUGUGA
rnacentral:lncRNA from 1 species